rnacentral:lncRNA from 1 species
AUUGGCUUGAUGGUAGAUGCAGUAAUGACUAAUUAAUUAGCGAGAUAACAUAAAAUUUGAGAUAUCUUUCAUCCAACCCUUGGAAUAUGAUCCAUCGGUUAACUUCACCAUUCACCAAUGCCAAAUCUUUUGCCGGAUUCUUGAAAAAAUACAAUGAAGGAAAAGAGAGUACGGUGUACCAUACAAACGUGAUAACUCAGUAACGUUGCAUUUCUCUAUUUGUAGAUCCAACGGUAGAAAAGCAUAAGAGAAGUUACCCAAUUGCAACAAGAAAAAAAAAAAAAUCCCAAAUCCAAAUUUCAAACACACAUGACAUGUUAGAUCUUUGUCUUAUCUUGCUAACUUACACACGACCCGUACUUGACAUCGACAUCGUACCGAUCAACACCAACCGGCAAAAAGCAAAAGAAGCUCGGAAGAGACCGGUGGUGCUAUUAUUGUUAAUCAUCCGAGAUUAGUGGUAAAUACGAAAUAUCACUCACUAAUUCACACUAUAUAGGAGAUAAAAUAGGUCAUGUAAAGACCGAUCGACCACUGUUCUAUUUUUUUAAUAAUUCAAUUUCUUACAUUUUUUUAUGUUUAUCUGCGUGCGCAGUGCCGUACAUGUUUAGUUAAUUGCUCUGCAUAACACUCUUCCGUUUUCUGUACGAUUUCCGUACUGACCGACCGACCGACCGACCGAACGAACUUAAAUGAAUGGUGUGUGAGAUGUUCGUGUCAGGCUUUGCGACCAUACCGAUAGAAGAAAAAAAUUAGUACACGUGG